rnacentral:rRNA from 1 species
UACGAGAGGUGCAAGCGUUGUUCGGAGUAAUUGGGCGUAAAGCGCACGUAGGUGGCCCGACAAGUCAAUGGUGAAAGCUCGACGCUCAACGUCGAGUCGGCCACUGAUACUGUUGGGCUGGAGCACUGUAGAGGCUCAUGGAAUUCCGGGUGUAGCGGUGGAAUGCGUAGAGAUCCGGAAGAACACCGGUGGCGAAGGCGGUGAGCUGGGCAGUAGCU